AUGCUAGGCUCUACAACCAUUGUUGUAGCUCAUCAUAUGUAUUCUAUGCCUCCCUAUCCAUACCUAGCUACUGACUAUGGUACACAACUUUCCUUGUUCACUCACCACAUGUGGAUUGGCGGAUUUCUAAUAGUCGGUGCUGCUGCACAUGCAGCAAUUUUUAUGGUAAGAGACUAUGAUCCAACUACUCGAUACAACGAUCUAUUAGAUCGCGUCCUUAGACACCGCGAUGCAAUCAUAUCCCACCUUAACUGGGUAUGUAUAUUUCUAGGUUUUCACAGUUUUGGCUUGUACAUUCAUAAUGAUACCAUGAGUGCUUUAGGCCGUCCACAAGAUAUGUUUUCGGAUACUGCCAUACAAUUACAACCUAUCUUUGCUCCAUGGGUACAAAAUAUCCAUGCUACUGCGCCUGGCGUAACAGCUCCUGGUGCAACAACAAGUACUAGCUUAACGUGGGGAGGCGGCGAGUUAGUAGCAGUAGGUGGCAAAGUGGCUUUGUUACCUAUUCCAUUAGGAACCGCAGAUUUUUUAGUCCAUCACAUUCAUGCAUUUACCAUACAUGUGACUGUAUUAAUACUUUUGAAAGGUGUUUUAUUUACUCGGAGUUCCCGUUUGAUACCCGAUAAAGCAAAUCUAGGUUUUCGCUUUCCUUGCGAUGGGCCUGGCCGAGGGGGAACAUGUCAAGUAUCCGCCUGGGAUCAUGUUUUCUUAGGUUUAUUCUGGAUGUACAAUGCAAUUUCGGUAGUCAUUUUCCAUUUCAGUUGGAAAAUGCAGUCGGAUGUUUGGGGUACUAUAAGUGAUUAA
rnacentral:rRNA from 1 species